ensembl:lncRNA novel transcript
UCAGGCAUCAAUGAAAGUGUGCCUUUAGCAUCCUCUGAAACAAAGGGUAAAUCAGCUGCAAUUAAUUAUUGUCAUCAGUGCCAGAUUCGAAUUUGGAACUCUCUCUCAGAGGAUUUCAGCCAAGAAAAACUAAGAAACUAUUUCUCCCAUUGCCCCUACCCCUAGACAAGACUUAGCAUAGACAAAAAAACUUCCAAAUCUGACCAAAAACGAAGAUCAUCCAAGUCUUCUGGUGUAAGAAACAAUUUUAUGGCUUUCAUCUUAAAAAAUCAAGCAGAAGAAAAAAGAAAAAAAAAUAGGGCAAAUGAAAAAGGAAGACAAUGUCCAGAUCAAAGAGUUAAAUAUGGACACAAGAAAUGCAAGCAGCUGUAAAGUGAAAGAUCAAGAACCACUCUGAGGGCUCAGAAGUAGAAACUAGUGAACUCCAAAAGCAACCCUCAAAGAAA